UCCGGUUUGUCACCGGCAGUCUCAUUAGAGUGCUCAACUGAAUGUAGCAACUAAUGACAAGGGUUGCGCUCGUUGCGGGACUUAACCCAACAUGUCACCACACGAGCUGACGACAGCCAUGCAGCACCUGUCUUCACGUAGUAUUGCUACUAAAGCCCUAUCUCUAGGGUUGUCGUGAGAUGUCAAAUCCAGGUAAGGUUCUUCGCGUUGCUUCGAAUUAAACCACAUGAUCCACCGCUUGUGCGGGCCCCCGUCAAUUCCUUUGAGUUUUAGUCUUGCGCCCGUACUUCCCAGGCGGGGUACUUAUUGCGUUAGCGCCGGUUCAGCGGGGGUCAAGACCCACCAAACCUAGUACCCAUCGUUUACAGCGUGGACUAC
rnacentral:misc_RNA from 1 species